rnacentral:rRNA from 1 species
GACGAACGCUGGCGGCGUGCUUAACACUUGCAAGUCGAACGGAUAGGCCCUGCUUUUGUGGGGUGCUCGAGUGGCGAACGGGUGAGUAACACGUGAGUAACCUGCCCUUGACUUUGGGAUAACUUCAGGAAACUGGGGCUAAUACCGGAUAGGAGCUCCUGCUGCAUGGUGGGGGUUGGAAAGUUUCGGCGGUUGGGGAUGGACUCGCGGCUUAUCAGCUUGUUGGUGGGGUAGUGGCUUACCAAGGCUUUGACGGGUAGCCGGCCUGAGAGGGUGACCGGCCACAUUGGGACUGAGAUACGGCCCAGACUCCUACGGGAGGCAGCAGUGGGGAAUAUUGCACAAUGGGCGGAAGCCUGAUGCAGCAACGCCGCGUGCGGGAUGACGGCCUUCGGGUUGUAAACCGCUUUCGCCUGUGACGAAGCGUGAGUGACGGUAAUGGGUAAAGAAGCACCGGCUAACUACGUG